rnacentral:tRNA from 1 species
GAGAAUCUAGUAAACACAUUACAUGACCUUGUCAUAGUCAAAUCACAGCAUCUGUGUUUCUCA